GAUGAACGCUGGCGGCGUGCCUAAUACAUGCAAGUCGAGCGAACGGACGAGAAGCUUGCUUCUCUGAUGUUAGCGGCGGACGGGUGAGUAACACGUGGAUAACCUACCUAUAAGACUGGGAUAACUUCGGGAAACCGUAGCUAAUACCGGAUAAUAUUUUGAACCGCAUGGUUCAAAAGUGAAAGACGGUCUUGCUGUCACUUAUAGAUGGAUCCGCGCUGCAUUAGCUAGUUGGUAAGGUAACGGCUUACCAAGGCAACGAUGCAUAGCCGACCUGAGGGGGUGGUCGGCCACACUGGACCGGGGACACGGUCCAGACUCCUACGGGAGGAAGCAGAAGGGAAUCUUCCGCAAUGGGCGAAAGCCUGACGGAGCAACGCCGCGUGAGUGAUGAAGGUCUUCGGAUCGUAAAACUCUGUUAUUAGGGAAGAACAGAUGUGUAAGUAACUGUGCACAUCUUGACGGUACCUAAUCAGAAAGCCACGGCUAACUACGUG
rnacentral:rRNA from 1 species